UUGGAGGGCAAGUCUGGUGCCAGCAGCCGCGGUAAUUCCAGCUCCAAUAGCGUAUAUUAACGUUGUUGCAGUUAAAAAGCUCGUAGUUGAAGUGAGGGAGUGUGUAGUAGGACCGACUUGAUCGGAACUGCUGCAACCUCCCCCCUCCAAUCGGUGUAGUGGGGUAUUCAGUUAUUCUACUACUCCUUUGGUCGUUUACUGUGAGAAAAUUAGAGUGUUCAAAGCGGGCGUUUGUUUGAAUAGAUUAGCAUGGAAUAAUGAUUGAAGGCUUUCGUGUUCGAUUUGAUUGGUUUGUUCAUGGAAGCAAGGUUAAAAGGAACAGUUGGGGGUAUUCAUAUUCACUAGUUAGAGGUGAAAUUCUCGGAUUUAUGGAAGAUGAACAAGUG
rnacentral:rRNA from 1 species